UACAGAGGUCUCAAGCGUUGUUCGGAUUCAUUGGGCGUAAAGGGUGCGUAGGCGGCGCGGUAAGUCGGGUGUGAAAUCUCGGAGCUUAACUCCGAAACUGCAUUCGAUACUGCCGUGCUUGAGGACUGGAGAGGAGACUGGAAUUUACGGUGUAGCGGUGAAAUGCGUAGAUAUCGUAAGGAAGACCAGUGGCGAAGGCGGCUCUCUGGAACGCAA
rnacentral:rRNA from 1 species